AAUCUCGAUGAGAUCCAGAUUGAUCCACAAGAGAGAGUACUAAUGGACAGUGAUGGAUCAGAUUCUGAGAACGAGAAAGAAAUUACAGAAAAUGAUGCUUCAGAUUCACCUUCAAAUUCAUCUGACAAAUCCAAGAAGUCCACUGCUGGAGUUGAACAACUCAAAAAUCAACAACCUCCAAAAGGCAAGAAUGAUAAACUACAGUUGAAUGGCAAGGACUUGGAGGAACCACACACA